AACAUAUUUGGCUUACAAACUCUAGGCUGCACAGUAUGGCAGAAGUUGUGCUUUGACAGCAGGAUGGCUCAAAUGGCGGUCAUAACCUUGCAUUAUUGGGGCAGUGAAAUAUUUUAGUGGAAUCACUGGCAUCUCAUUUUCCCCUUAAAAUGAGUGCUGCCUUUUAUUAUUUGCCCAGUGGGGAUGGCUGGUUUGCUCAUUUGGGUGGCACACUCUUCCUCUGAAGUGAAGGCCACAGGAGUGAUUUCACGUGAAUGUAUGAUUUUCUAACUUCUUCAGGACCACAGGUUGCAUUUCUCCAUUCUAAGCAACUCUUGUAGAAAAUUAUACCCUUCUUAUUGUCAAAACGAUGCAAGAACGCAGAUAAGUUUGGCUGAAGGUUUCACACUUAUUGCUAUGGUAGGCAGAAUUUUAAGAUGACUCCCAUGACCUUUGGCCCUGUUCUUACUCCUAAGAUUGUGUUACAAGAGGAAAGGGAGAUUAUCUAGGGAGGCCAAACUAAUUACAGGAGCCCAUUAAAAACAGAGACUUUUUCUGUCUGGGAGCAGAAGAGGAAGUCAGAGAGAACUGAAACAUAAGAAGGAUUCAACCUACCAUUGCUGGCCUGGAAGUGGAGGGGCAAUGUGAAAAAGGGUGAUCAUCUUAAAGAGGAAUAUUCUUGUCAAGGCUUUCUCUGAAAAGCUUCCCUUGGGAGUAGAAGGAGCCUCCAUCACAGACGUUUAUGUUCAUGGAGAGUCUAUUUGCAGGACUGAAAAACAUCGUAUGACUAGAUAAGAUGUGCACUAUUUUGCCACAAACCUGGAAACUUUACCCACUGUGAGAAGGCAGCCGCCUGUCUGUGCACACCCAUCGCCUGCCUACAUAAACCACUGCUAAAAUCAACUUCCUGGCAAGAUGAACUUUGGACAAUAGACCUCCAUCUUCUCAAACAGAUGAGUUUUUAAAUAAACUCAUUUUCCAUGCCUCAACAUCUUAUUUCUUGAUUUCAUUGGCCUAUAGUGUGACUGAACUUGGGUCUGGUAACAUUAUUUUAUCUUUAUCUCUUAUUUCUUUGAAUGGUAUUUACUGCAUGUGUUUUAAUUUUUAAUUUGAUGUCUUGAAUCAGUUGAAAGUGAAUAUAAACCCUGCAUUUUCUUUGAGAAGGCAUGUGAUAAAGCUUUCUUACUUGUGUAGGGACCAAAAAGAAUAAUCAGUGCAUUAACAGAUGAAUUUGCCCAAUUCAUGACUCAUGUGAUAGAGAAAACAGUUCCUCAGAAUUUCAGUAUUUUAUUAUCAAUAUGUCUGUAGCAAACCAAUUGCUAGAUCUUAACAGUUCCCUCAGAGAUUGGGCAGAUCCAGUUGAGUUGGUAGGUGAAAGGCUCAAAAUGAAGUUCAGAGAUUUUUCUUCUCUGUAAUCCUUAUGUACUUUGAGAAAAAAAAAUUGUUUAUCAGUUUAUUAAUAUCCUUUUGUUGAAAGAACAUCAUAUGAAAUUAAAGAAAUUGAGUCACUCUUGUUAAAGUGUCUAUGUGUC